rnacentral:other from 1 species
CAUAACCUGAAAUGCUCGAUUCAACCUAGUAAUUUUGAACCUACAUUUACUUUAAACGGGAUUCCUAUUAUUGUCUAAUGGAUGUCAAGCCUUCAUUGCGCAGAGGACGGCAGAAGUUAUGAUUGCGGUUACCCACCUAGCUUUGCUAGGAGUCAAAAUACUGGGCCCGGCAUUUUGGGCAUAUU